GGGCGAUUAACUCAGACUGGUAGAGUACUACCUUCACACGGUAGGAGUCACAGGUUCAAAUCCUGUAUCGCCCACCA
rnacentral:tRNA from 1 species